GGCCACCGGAGGAGACACCGCGGCCCCCGCUUCCCACGGCUCGGGGACCCCAUCCCCCCGGUUCCCGAAGCGCCUCAGAUCCCGCGCCUCCUCCUUCCCCCAGUGCCCUGAAUUCUGCAGCCCCCAAUCCCGCAUCCACCCGGCUUCUCGUGCCCCUAGAUUCUGACCCCGGCAUCCCCUCUGCAUCCUGAGCACCCCUCUCCCCUCCCGGUUCUUGCAGUCUCCUAGCUUCCGUGGCCCCCACCCGGAUCCGGUACACACCACCACCACCACCUCCACCACCACCCCAACUCCCCCACCCCCGCUUCCCGCGACCCCUGGCUUCCUGCAACCCCCAAAUUCCCGAGUCGCGGAUUGCCGCAGCUCCCUGCUUCCCGCGCCCCCGGGAUUCUGAAGCCUCCAGACUCUGCACCUCCCCGUUUCCCACCCUGCCACUUCCUGCAGCCCCCCAUCCUGUGGUCCCCGUUUCCCACAGCUCCCCCCAACUCCAACUCCACAGCGCUCGGUCUUGGCUCCUCCCCUCGGGCGCCUUGGAGACUUUUCUUUUCCAUUUUGUCAUCUUGCCCUUCUUAUCAUUUAAUUUAACGUUUUUAAGAUCUUUGCUGUUUCCCUUUUAUUUCAUUUAACGUUAUUUUAUCCCUUUUGUUUUAACAUUUGAUUCCUUUUCAAAUGGAUUUUGUUCUCUCCUUUCUCUGUUUCCGAGUCCCUCCUGUCUUUCUCUGCUCAGGGUUGCCGCUCAUGGCUGUCCCGUCCUCCCAGGUGCCAGAGGCUCCAGUAUGUCCCAAGAGGGAGCGACGCCCCAUCUUGUCCCCACACACCCCCGCCCGCCUGGAGCACCCCAGGCCAGAAUUUGGUGGGAAGCGGGAGCCGAGCUGCUGCUGGCGCUGGGAGAGCGCCGCUGGAGCAGAGGCACUGGCAUGUUCCACAGGCGUGGCCUGGCGCCAAGCUUUGGGGAUAACCUCUGAGGUAAAAGACCCUCUGGAGCAUGCCCCAAAAGUCCUGGGUCUGGAAGGUGCCCCCAGGUACAGCAGCACACAUGGUGGCCAGAUAUGCCUGGUGGAUGGUGGAGCCUGGCUGCAGGCAGGUGUCGAUGUGCACAGACCAUGCUGGAUGAAAACAUAAAUCCGUUCAUGCCAUAUAUGGACCUGCUCCACUAGGUCCUGACAACCUUACCGGGGCAAGAGGCAGGCAAGGUGUGGUUACAGAAGUCCAGUCAGUCUACUGGGGACAUUGAUCUUGUAGGAGAGAAGAUGGGCUAAGAGCUAUUUAUGUGCACACGCAGAACUCCAUAGGUUUGGAGCUCAGUUAUUCUAGGCGAGAACCAUAGAAGUAGAGAAGCACAGAGCUUGAAAGAGAAAUGCCAGAGUUCCUGCUUGAAGCCAGAUGUCUUCUGGGCAGCUCUGGGAAGGGUGUGGCCCUUGUUCAGACGACUUCAGAUGGAUCCGGGCGAAUGCCAGAAGAAGCUGCAGAUCGGUUCACCAAAGUCAGGACUGAGUCUGGAGGAGAAACAGGCAAAAGUAAGGGCCAUGUCUGAGGUCUCUAGCGUGGGAUAGAGAAGGGCAGGCUUGGCCCCUGGGGCUGGCCAGCUGUCACCCUCUCUGGUUGCCCUGUCUUUGACUGGCUUCAGGGUGCCUUUCUUGGUCUUGGUCUUUGCCUCUCUCAGUUUCUCUCUCUGCUCCAUUUGUCGGCCUUCCUUUCAUUGCUUCUUCAGCGCUUUGACUGUUCUGUAUUAUGUGGCCACAAAGAAACACAACCAGAUCCAGGAGCAGAUAAAAAUACGAAUGCAUUUCGUAAAUGGGAGGUCAUUGGUGAUAAAGCCCAUCCAUCUUGCUGGUCUUUGUAUAGUUAUGUGAUAGCACGUUUUCAUGUUUGUGUAAAAAUCUAAGUAUGGCCUCAAAAGUUUGUUUUCUUGCAGUCUUUCAGCAGCUGUCUCUCUGGGUGUCUCUGUCUGUUUCUUUCAAGGACCCUUCCCCUUCUUCAUUAUGCCACUCAAGAACAAUUGGGCCCUCGGACUCCUCUGCUGCAGUUUUGAUACCCUCCCCCCCACAAUAUUGCCUUCUUUGAAGUUUGCCUCAGGUGGGCAAUGGCUUUACUGACACAGAGUUAGCGAGAUGGCCACAUUGCUAGCAGUGCCUGGGGGGUUGUGUUGGCAAUGUGGUGGAGAUGCAAGUAUCUCUAGGGAUGUAAGGAGCCACACAGAGACACUACUUUAUUCCACUCAGGGGAUGGACUAGAGGGAAGGACAUUGGUGAGGCCGUGGGCCAGUGGAAUCCCACCUGGCCAGGAGGGGAAGAGGUCCCCAGGUCAGUUGGGCAAGUCCUGGGAACAAUAUGAAGGAAAAGCAAUAAACCCUGAGAGGUCCUGCUUCCCAGUCUCAGAUGUGGUAAAAAUAUAACAUCAGAGUAAGAAAAGGCAAGAUAUAAGGAGGGAGCUGGGGACUCCUUAGAGCCCGAGGCACCUAGGGACAUCUGGGAGGAGAGCCUGACAGCGCCAGGAUGUGCUGGGGGGAGGGGAGGAGCUGGAGUCCCACCCUGUCCACCCCGCUGUGUGGUCACCCAGCCAGCAGGCAGCUAUGAUGACACAAGGGCCAACAGCUUCUGCUUGGAUCCUCUGACUAUUUACCAGGUGGUACAAACAAGGUGGAGGGGGUGGGAAGGGGGCAUGCUCCAGUGACAGAAGGACAGCGCCUGGGGCCCUACGCCCCACGUCCCAGGAUUGAGUGAACCCAGAGAGUUCAGGCCCGCCCUCCAGAGAAACAGGCCCGGGGUUUUCUCUCCAGGUGCCAUGGAUUCUCUGUGCCCCUCUCUGUGUGCCUUUGCCACUCUUGUCUCUGCUUUUCUGCUCCUUGAACUGAGGGUCUGUCUCCUCGUCCCUCUCUGACACUCUUCACAGCUUCGCUGGCUUUGGCUGUCUCUGCCCAGGGUCUCUGUCUCUUCACACUCACCCCACCCCCUCUUUGUUAAUUCAAAGACUUCUCACAGAGCCCCUCCCCACUCUUCCCAGAAUAACACAGAGUAAAAUGUCCUACUCCCUUGGCCCCCUCCUCCCCUACGGCAGUCCCCUCUCCCCGUGUCAGAUAAUUGCUGGUGUGCCGCUCUGAGGAACCAGAGCUGAUACCAGGGAAGGAGAUGGGGAGAGAAAUAAAUAAUAAUUUGCUUCCAUUCAGCAUAUAUAGGUUAUUUGAUUUGCAUAUAUGCUAAUAAUGCUAUAAUUACCCUGCUGUUCUGGCCUAUGAUCAAGUUCUAUAAAUACAUGGAUAGCAGAGCGAGGCCUAGCAACACCACCCCAAAUUAUAAAGUAUGUGUGUGUGUGCAUUUACGUGUACCCUAAAUCUGUGAGCCUCUCUUUGUUACAACACAGCCCUCAGAGACCCUCGCUCUUCCGGCUUUCGGCUACCCCUCCUGUGUUCGGAAAGAGGGGGCCUGAAUGCGGAAAUAUUCUGGGUUAUAUGUAAUGUUUAGUAUUGAGAUGAUCAUGAAUAAAUUAUUACUGGCUUUAGGAAAAUAAAAAAUUUUCCCCAAACCAUUGAAUUAGUUAUUGUUACCGGAAUGCUCUCACCACCUCCAGGCCCACACUUCGGGGUGUAGACUGCAGCACGGCAAGAGGGCGCCUCCUGGCCCUGGGACUGCUGAGAUGUGUGAGAAAGUCUUGGCUCUGGGGUCCCCUUUCCCAGAGCUGCACCCACACCUCGGACUCCAGGCUCGGGUCCACCCCCCUUCACUCACUCGCUCUCAGGACCACAACAGGGAGAAGGUGCUCCUGGAGCCCUGCAGAUGUUUGGGGGAUGGUGGCAGAGGUGGGAGGAGGCCCGGAGGAACAUAAAAGACUCCAUCCACAGCUGUCUGCCUUUAAUUAUAAUUAUCCCCUUUUGAUUCCUUUCUGGCUAAUGAGGGGGGGAUUCGGGGUUUUUUUUUCUCCCUUUUCUCCCCCACUUCCCCAGAAUUGAGGGGUGGAGUGAGUUCAGGGUCCUCCUCCCCUCCUCCCCUAGCCCCUGGUUACUGGGAGAAAGGCAGACUAGAGAGGGUGGGGACAGUGUGAAGAGAUUUGCAGGAACAAAGGGAGGACAGGUUUGGAUUGCUGGACACGUCCCAGAGUUGGAGAGACCCCCUCCAUGCCACUGGCACCCCUCCCAUCAGCCCCCCAGCCCCCAGACAAGGAGCUCAAUGUCUUCCAGCCGGUGAGAAAGGAGCUGAAGGGAGCCCAGGCCUAGAGGGAAGGAGGAGGGAAGGGGUGGGGAGCUGGGGGCGCAAAAUUAGUCUCAAAGGAUCUUUAUUUCUGAGCUAGUGAAGCAGAUGUAAUCAAGGGGAGAGCAAAAUAAUAAUAAUGGGAGGAAUGAGGGGAGGGGAGCUGGGGGGGCAGCCUGCCCCCCCCUUGGUCUCCCCACUCUGGGGUGCGGAAGGAAGCUCUAGGCCUAGGACUCUGACCUAAGCCCUCAGAAUCCCCCUUUCAGAGCUUGGGGAUGAAGGCCGGAAGGUGGCUGGGAAGGCACGGGGAGAGGGGAGAGCCCACCCCCCAGCUAAGGGAG
rnacentral:lncRNA from 1 species